UACGGAGGGUGCGAGCGUUGUCCGGAAUCACUGGGCGUAAAGGGCGCGUAGGUGGCGCGGGAAGUCAACGGUGAAAGUUCGGGGCUCAACCCUGAAUCGGCCGUCGAUACUCCCGGGCUCGAGCACUGUAGAGGCAGAUGGAAUUCCGGGUGUAGCGGUGGAAUGCGUAGAGAUCCGGAAGAACACCAGUGGCGAAGGCGGCCCGCUGGGCAGUGGCUGACGCUGAGGCGCGACAGCGUGGGGAGCAAACAGG
rnacentral:rRNA from 1 species